UUUAUAAGAGAUUUAUUGUGACAGGGGGGAUAGUUUAUGCUUGCUUUCUCAUUCAUAGAGUUUGGACCACAGGGGUUAAACAACUCCCCUGGGAUGAGCACACCAGAAGUAACAAGAGUGAUUCAACAGUCCUUACUCACUAGGAAGGCGUUAUUCUGGAAACAGUGAAAGAAACUGCAAGUAUUGUUAAUAAACCAGUUAAUAAGCCAUCUCCUCCCA
rnacentral:lncRNA from 1 species